GUAUAAGUACCUAACAAUAAUAAUACUAAUAAUAAUAAUAAUGUAUUGUAACAGCACACAUAUAUAAUACUCACAUGUAAUUGUAUAAUACGAGUGCCUAUGAAAUCCAGAAGACGAUAUAUUUUAUCCGCGUUGAGUGUAAACAUUUAGAUCAUUUGUUUAUUUAUUGAAAAACACCAACAUGAAUAAUAAAAAAAAAAAAAAAGGAAAAAAGAAAACCCCGCGUUUAUAAUAUAAUAUUGUGCUCGGAAAUCUUAAUGCAGAGAACACUAGAUGAAAUAAUAUACUAUAGGGUAUUAUCAUAAUUGUGCUCGCUAGCUCCCGUUCCUUCCGGCAUUUACUCAACACGCAUU